rnacentral:lncRNA from 1 species
GAAGGUGGGAGUCCCAGGCCUACACCACACCUGCCACUCCGCUGGGGGUCCUGGGCGAGCAAGCCUGUCCAGGCCCCAGCCCUUCCUGUAGGGUGGAUCCUCAGCCUCGGGAUCCCCGGGUGAUGGUGCGGAAGGAAGGAACGUGUCAGGGAGCCUGGGACGGCAGGACUCCAACCUGUCACCCAGAGGAGGAGCCACCGGACCUUGGCAGGUCUCCCCCUGGCGGGCUUGUUGGCUUAGGGAGGGUCCAUGUGGUGGUCCCCCGUGUACACACGGGUCACAUGCCACCCCGGAGGAGGCUGUGUGUCUCCAGAGCUGAGCCCGGGGAGGCAGGACCCUGGGGGCACAGGGCGGGAGCCUCUAGAAAGAGAGCCUGCAGCCUCUGUCCCUUCCCUCUGGGCUUGAGGUGGGCUGAGGGGACUCCACCAAGAUGUGUGCACAUCUGUCACAGAGGCUCAUGAUGGGUUAUGCCACUUAACCGGUCAGCCAGGUGGCCACGGUAGGCAGGUGGGUUUGGCUGGAGGAGGUGGGUCACUGGGGACGUGCCUUUGGUAUGUGUCUUUGUCCUUGGGGAGGAUCUUUCCUCCCACCUCGCCCCCUUCUUGGUGGCCACAUUGUAACCUGCUUUCCCCAGCACACUCUUCUGCCAUGAUGUUCCCCCAGGUUUGGACCCCGAGGGACUCGGCCGUCUAUGGGCUGAGACCUCUGAAACCAUAAGGCGAAACGUAAACUUCUUCUCCUCUAAUUGUUCUGGUUAGGUCUUGUGGUCCCGGCAGCGAAAAAGCUGACUAAGACAGUGUCCCAGCCUUGGAACUUCAGAGUGGGGCCUUGUCUGGAAAAGGGUCUCUGCAGGUGUGAUGAGGUUGAGGGUCUGAGAGGAGAUGGUUCUGGAUCUUCUAAGUGAGCCCCAAAUCUAAUGACCUGUGUCCUCACAGGGAGAAAAGGAGAAGACACAGACCAGGACACGGGAACACGGAUCAGGGGUCACAGCCACAGCUAAGGAGUGCCUGACGCCACCAGGAAGCACCAGGGGCCCCCCUGAGGCCUCAGAGGAGCACAGCCCUCCGAGGGCAGGGCCACCACACCUGGGCUUCAGGCUCCUGCACUUGAGAGCGGUCCCUGUGGUCAGACAGCCCCGAGUGUUGUGGUCCUCUGUCACAGGAGCCGGGGAGACUACUGGGCUUGAGGCUGCCAUUGUCCCAGCUGGAGAGGAGGGACCUGGCAGGUACGGCUCCCAGGGCCCUGAAGGAAGGGGUCCUGGUGGAGGUCCAGUCCAGCCCUGUGGGACGCCACCCAUGAAUUAUUUGAGCUUAUUUGAGCGUCUUCGCUCGGCCUCGAGCCAGGGAGGGGCAGAGUACCCUGUGGCUCCUCCUCCUCCCACUGCCCAAUACACAUGACCUCUGUCUUGGCUUGGCUAGGGACACCACUCUCCCUAGCUUAGCUCCGGAGUGGGGCGUAACCAUUGGAAACCGGACAGCCCACCUCCCACCUUAUUUGGCAAAAAAACAUUUCGUGGAAAACUUUUGAUGCUUCCCCCAUAUAGAUGAAGCAAACGCGGACUCUCGCUCUCUUUCCAGUGCGGAAGCUUGGUCCCUAAGAUCGAGAGCCAUCCUGCCCUCCACUUUCUAAACUAUUUCCUGUCUCCUGUGAUUUCUUUGCCACUUUCUCUUUCUUAGCUUUUAUUUCACAGCCAGCCCGUUACAUGCAGAGGAACCCCAAAUUCCAUCACCCACACAGGACAUGAGCGAGACAGCGAGUGCAGUCAAGGCUGAAGGAGCCUGGACACCUGACCCUGAAGACAGUGACCCGCUGGCCUGUGUGACUCAGAAAGCAGUGAAUGCAGCCCAGGUGUCAGUGAUGGGGCCUGGGACAGUGGGACAAGGUUGGCUGAGGGCCAGGGUCCCCGCAGGCUGGACAGGGCUUGUCUUCAGCUAUGGAAGAGCAUUUUAAAGGGCUGGGGAUUAGGUCCCUCCUGCUGUGGGUACCGUGGCCUCCAGACGACUCAGUGGGCAAAGAGCCUGGGCUGAGGGUGGCGUCCAUGGUGUCCCCAACACUGGCCCAGAGAGAGGGCGUGGUGUGAGUGGAGGGGCAAGCCUGCCAGAGCCAGGGGGCCUCCUCUCCUCCCUCUCCUCCUCCCUUCAACCCAGCACUGCCCCUGGCACCUUCACACCUCCGGGGUCUCCCCUGACCAGGUGCCCCCUGAGCCUGUGUCAGUGCCCUUCUGGAUGCUCCUCUGGUCCCCCUUCAACCUGGCGUGGAGGCCGCUCCUCCAGGGGAGCCAACCCUGCUCCUCUCCCCCACUCUCUGCAGGACCAGAGGCCACAGACUCCCCAGCCUCCAUGUCCCAACUGUGGCCUUCUACAAUUAGGAGACACCACACAUGUGCCCGUGGAGCCAUCAGGGAAGAGCUGGGAGCUGGUGUCCCCAGGGCUAGCAGAGAGCCCCAGCUGGGCUGGGCAGCCAGGGAUUGGUGGGAGAGCCAGGCAGAGCCGACAGAGCCAGCCCAGGGCCCGGCAAGGCUGCUCUAGGGACUGGCUGGGAUGCCCUGGGGCUCUGCCUGGGCCCAUCCUGCCCAUAGUUGCCAUUCUGCUGGGCACGUGGAGUCCACUGGACAGUGGGACACUGCUGCCACCCGCAGCAGGAGGAGCCUGGCAAGUCACACAGACCAGGCCUCGCCUGGGGAACAAGGGCUGUGGGAAUGGGGUUCCUGGCCCUGGGGGCAGAGGGCUCUCCUUCGGCAGGGGCAGCAGGCAGUGGCACACGUGCAGACAAGAAAAGCAGAAAGGGUGGUGGGCAGGGGGAAGGGGCUGGUGCCCCGAGGCGGCCCAGGUGGGGGUACUGGUCACCUGGUAGGGAAAGGCCCCUCCAGCGGGGCAUCCCGAGGUCAAGGCAGGGCCAGGUGGGUCUUUACUUUCAGUUGGCAUUGGAGCCGCUCAGGUGCACCGUGGUUCCCCGCCACCUUCUCUCUGGGCAAAGCUUUUCCUGUCCACGUGAACCUGUGCCCCGCUGUGCACACAAAUCCCACCAAUGCCCGGCUUCCCUGCAACGCGCUGCUUCCUCACGCGCCUGCGUAGCCCAGUCCAGCUCUGCUCCGCUACAGAGAAUCCCUAAAACCUGGGAAAGAUAAACUUGAUCCUAUGAGGGGCACAUUGAUCCCCGGCUUGAGACACAAGGAAACGCGGAGCCGGUGGUGACACGUGGGAAGAGGGAGAUGUGGCUCUCAGCACACCUGAAGCCAUCACCCUGGAAACACAUUGGACUCCGGGCAGUCCGCGG